CCUACGGGUGGCAGCAGUGGGGAAUAUUGGACAAUGGGCGAAAGCCUGAUCCAGCGAUGCCGCGUGUGUGAAGAAGGCCUUCGGGUUGUAAAGCACUUUCAGUGGGGAAGAAAGCCUUGGGGCUAAUACCCUCGAGGAAGGACAUCACCCACAGAAGAAGCACCGGCUAACUCCGUGCCAGCAGCCGCGGUAAUACGGAGGGUGCGAGCGUUAAUCGGAAUUACUGGGCGUAAAGCGCGCGUAGGCGGUCUGAUAAGCCGGUUGUGAAAGCCCCGGGCUCAACCUGGGAACGGCAUCCGGAACUGUCAGGCUAGAGUGCAGGAGAGGAAGGUAGAAUUCCCGGUGUAGCGGUGAAAUGCGUAGAGAUCGGGAGGAAUACCAGUGGCGAAGGCGGCCUUCUGGACUGACACUGACGCUGAGGUGCGAAAGCGUGGGUAGCAAACAGGAUUAGAUACCCGAGUAGUC
rnacentral:rRNA from 1 species